rnacentral:rRNA from 1 species
AGAGUUUGAUCAUGGCUCAGAGCGAACGCUGGCGGCGUGCUUAACACAUGCAAGUCGAGUGCGCGCCUGUAGCAAUACAGGUGGCGCACGGCGCACGGGUGCGUAACACGUGGGCAAUCUGCCCUUCGAUGGGGAAUAACUCCGGGAAACCGAAGCUAAUUCCGCAUAACAUUCCUUGAACUUCGGUUUGGGGACUCAAAGGCGUAAGUCGUCGGAGGAGGAGCCCGCGCACGAUUAGCUAGUUGGUAGGGUAACGGCCUACCAAGGCUUUGAUCGUUAGCUGGUCUGAGAGGAUGGCCAGCCACACUGGAACUGAGACUCGGUCCAGACUCCUACGGGAGGCAGCAGUGGGGAAUCUUGCACAAUGGGCGAAAGCCUGAUGCAGCGACGCCGCGUGGGGGAUGAAGCUUUUCGGAGUGUAAACCCCUUUCGACCCGGACGAAACCCCGCAAGGGUUUGACGGUACGGGUAUAAGAAGCCCCGGCUAACUACGUGCCAGCAGCCGCGGUAAGACGUGGGGGGCCAGCGUUGCUCGGAAUUACUGGGUGUAAAGGGUUCGUAGGCGGUGUGGCAAGUCGGGAGUGAAAUCUCUGGGCUUAACUCAGAGACUGCUUCCGAAACUGCUGUGCUUGAGUGUGGGAGAGGCGCGUGGAAUUGCAGGUGUAGCGGUGAAAUGCGUAGAUAUCUGCAGGAACACCCGUGGCGAAAGCGGCGCGCUGGACCACUACUGACGCUGAGGAACGAAAGCUAGGGGAGCAAACAGGAUUAGAUACCCUGGUAGUCCUAGCCCUAAACGAUCAGGACUUGGGGUGCCGCACGUUCGUGCGUCGUCCCGGAGCUAACGCGUUAAGUCCUGCACCUGGGGAGUACGGUCGCAAGACUGAAACUCAAAGGAAUUGACGGGGGCCCGCACAAGCGGUGGAACAUGUGGUUCAUUUCGACGCUACGCGAGGAACCUUACCUGGGCUCGAAGCGCCCUUG